UAGAGAAGCGAGAGAUGCUAGUGAAAGAUCUAGAAGGCGUGAUCUAGAUCGAUCAAGAAGUCAUCGUUCACCCAUCUCUAGGAAAAAUAGAAGUAGAAGCACGAGUCCUCGCAGAAGAAGAUCAUACAGAGCGGGUUCCGAUUCUCCCAGUCACCAACGGGAACGUUCACCACAGAGAGGUAGGAAACCAGAUCAUUCUGAUUUAAGAUCACCUAGUCGCCAUCAUGGGAAAAGCAGAUCAUCCCCAAGAAAGGAUGAUGGUGACAAACUAAAACAUAGAAGACGGUCAAGGUCUAAAUCCCUUGAGACCAAGCUCCAUUCUGAUGAAAAAAUUAAUGAAACACGACACGGAAAAUCAAAGAACCGGGAUAGAAGGCGAUCAAGAUCUGCUUCACUGGAAGACAAGCAUAGUAAAAGAAGAUCAUCUCCUAGAAGCAUGGAUAAGAACAUUUCUAAACAUAGAAGGCAUUCUAGAUCAAACUCUAGGGAAAAGGUUGAUGAUACUGCAUCAAAAUAUCAUGGUAGGAGGCGAUCGCGGUCAAGUUCUUCAGAAAGUAAACAUCUCCCUGAUAGUAAGGUGGAUAGCAGUAGAGAUGAAAAACUGAAACAUCGUAGCAGAAGAAGAUCCAGGUCAAAAUCUUUAGACGGUAAGCAUCACAGGAGGGAGAAAUCAGAUAGAAGCAGAGACAAAAAGUCGAGGCAUCGUGAUAGAAGGUUAUCCAGAUCUGUAUCUCCUGAGGCUGGACAUCAAAGAGUGACAAGGCUGUCUCCUACCAGUUCUGAUGAAAAUAAA
rnacentral:misc_RNA from 1 species